AUUGAACGCUGGCGGCAUGCCUUACACAUGCAAGUCGAACGGUAACGCGGGGCAACCUGGCGACGAGUGGCGAACGGGUGAGUAAAGCAUCGGAACGUGCCCAAUAGUGGGGGAUAGCCCGGCGAAAGCCGGAUUAAUACCGCAUACGACCUGAGGGUGAAAGCGGGGGAUCGCAAGACCUCGCGCUGAUGGAGCGGCCGAUGUCAGAUUAGGUAGUUGGUGGGGUAAAGGCCUACCAAGCCGACGAUCUGUAGCUGGUCUGAGAGGACGACCAGCCACACUGGGACUGAGACACGGCCCAGACUCCUACGGGAGGCAGCAGUGGGGAAUUUUGGACAAUGGGGGAAACCCUGAUCCAGCCAUGCCGCGUGCGGGAAGAAGGCCUUCGGGUUGUAAACCGCUUUUGUCGGGGAAGAAAUCCCUCAGGCUAAUACCUUGAGGGGAUGACGGUACCCGAAGAAUAAGCACCGGCUAACUACGUGCCAGCCGCCGCUGUAAUAC
rnacentral:rRNA from 1 species